rnacentral:lncRNA from 1 species
CAGGAGUUUUGAAAGUUCGAGCUCAUCCUAGGCAAUUUAACGAGACCCUGUCUCAAAAUAAAAAAUUUAAAAAGGUCUGAGGAUGUAGCUCUGAGAAAAGGCUCUGGGUUCAAGCCCUGCCUUUGGAAAAAAAAAAAAAACAACAACAACAACAAAAAACAGGCCGAUGAGAGCUGCCGCUGUCCCCAGGGAAGUACCAGGCCCGAAUCCUGUCUGAGAGCCUCCUCAGCCCUGCUGAGUACCAGAGGGAGGUGCACUGCGAGCUGGUGACAGGCAAGGUGGACUCACUCGGGGCCUUCUUCAGCAGCCUCUGUCCAGAGGGUGACAUCGACAUUUUGCUGGACAAAUUUCACCAGGAAAAUCAAAGCCAUAUUUCCUCUUCACUCACCUCCACGUCGGUCACUAAAGCAGCGGCCCUGGAGGCUGGCGGGACCCCCGUGUGCACAAGUGACCACCCCGAGCCACGAGGCGUGCGGCCCUUCCAGCUGGCUGUGGCGCACAAGCUGCUGUCACACGUGUGCUCCAUUGCGGACUCCAGCACCCAGAACCUGGACCUGGGCUCCUUUGAGAAGGUGGAUUUCCUCAUCUGCAUCCCACCCUCUGAGGUCGCCUUCCAGCAGACCGUGGGCCGUGUGUGGCACUCAGGGGUACUGCGGGAGCUGGGCCUGGAGCCCGAGCCCAGGAGCAGGCAGAGGGCGGAGCGGCACGUGCUGAAGCUGGACGCCGAGGCGCAUGCCAGGUUCCAGGCGUUUCUCCAGAGCUCCCUCCAGAACCCGCACACGCUCUUCUUGCUCAUCCACGACCAUGCGCACUGGGACCUCGUGAGUAGUGCCGUCCACAAUCUUUACUCUCAAAGCGACCCAUCUGUGGGGCUGGUGGACAGACUGCUUAACUGCAGGGAGGUGAAGGAGGCCCCCAACAUUGUGAUGCUGCACGUGACAUCCUUCCCGUACGCGCUGCAGACCCAGCACACCCUCAUCAGCCCCUACAAUGAGAUCCACUGGCCGGGGCCCUACAGCAACGGUGUGGACCUGUACCCUGAAAAUAAGAAGUACUUCGGGCUGGCCGAGUUCACUGAGUCCACCCUCUCUGGACACAGCCUUCCCUUGCUCAGAUAUGACAGCUCCUUUGAGGCCAUGGUCACCACGCUGGGAAAAAGGUUCCCACGCCUGCACAGCGCCGUCAUCCGCACGCUGGUCCUGGUGCAGCACUACGCGGGCGCGCUGAUGGCGGCGCGCGGCCUCCCGCAGAUGAAGAACCACACGUCGGUGGAGACGCUGGAGAUCACGCAGAACCUCCUGCACGCUCCCCGGCAGUGUCCCCGUGGCCACGGGCUCAUGGUGCUGCUGCGUGUGCCCUGCCCGCCGCUGGCCGCAGUGGCCUACGAGCGGCUGGCGCAUGUGCGGGCGCGGCUGGCCCUGGAGGAGCACUUCGAGAUCAUCCUGGGCGACCCGCGCUCCGGCCUCUCCGUGGGCACGCACUUCGUGAAGCAGCUCAAGGUGGCGCAGGGCGCGGGGCCACGGGCUCCAGCCAGGCCAGUACUGUGGAGGCUGAGGCAGGAGAGUUGCACGUUCGAGCCCGGGCGGGCUGGGGAGCCAGGCGUGGUGGCACACACGCCAUCACAGCCCUCGGGAGGCUGAGACUCGGGGGGCCUGUCUCUCUCGUCUCUAGAUGUGGCAGAAGAUCGAGGAUGCCGAGUGGAGGCCGCAGACGUACCUGGAGCUGGAGGGCCUGCCCUGCAUCCUCAUCUUCAGCGGGAUGGACCCGCACGGCGAGUCCUUGCCCAGGUGUGGAGGGCGCCCGCGGGGCUGCUGCUGCCUGACAGCCCUCGGGAGGCUGAGACUCGGGGGGCCUGUCUCUCUCGUCUCUAGAUGUGGCAGAAGAUCGAGGAUGCCGAGUGGAGGCCGCAGACGUACCUGGAGCUGGAGGGCCUGCCCUGCAUCCUCAUCUUCAGCGGGAUGGACCCGCACGGCGAGUCCUUGCCCAGGUGUGGAGGGCGCCCGCGGGGCUGCUGCUGCCUGCCUGUAGGGGGCACCGUUUGCAUCCCCAGGGUCAGGUCAUGUAUUUGUGGCCGGCUUCCAGGGGCAGCGCGGAGCUGUCCUCAGUGCUCGAAGCCACCACUGGGCUCCUCGAGGAGCUGUGGGCGUGCAGUGGAGUUAGGGUGCAGUGGGUGCCUGUGUUGGGGCCGACCGUUGCAGAACCACGCAGCAUGAGCUGGCGUUGGGGUCGCGGUUCCACUGGGACCCAGGUCACCCCCGUGUCUGUCUCCAGGCCACUGAGCAGGACAGAUCUCCAGGUCAGUGUGGCCCAGACCCACCUGAGAGCUGUCAUAGCCCAGCUCCCACACAGACCCUGGCCCAGAACGACUCAGUGUCAGGCUCACAAGUGUCGAUGCGCUUGGAUCCCAUCUGGCAGAUCCAAAAAUAUCAGAGCUUCACAUUCGGGAGGCUGAGGCAGGAGGAUCACUUUGAGUUUGAGGCAGCCUGGGCUACAUAACGAGACCCGGGAAGAAAAACAGGAAAAAAAGUCCCAGAGUGAGCACAGUGUCAAUUUUAAUCCCUUAAACAAAGCUGGGUUCCAGGCCCGCUUGGUCUGACCGGAAAGUUGGUGCCGUUCUGCUUACGUGCGACAGUGUGCACUGCAGCCGGUGUCGGGGGAGCCCGCGGAGCUCCAUGCUGCUGGGGCGCAGGCAGCGCUGUCCUGAGGCGAGGGUCAGGGCCGCCCCGAGCACAGGCCCGGAAGGGAAGGAGCCCUGACCCCGCGCCCACCCAUCCGCCAGGUCCCUGCGGUACUGUGACCUUCGCCUCAUCAACGCCUCCUGCCUGGUGCGCUCGGCCCUGGAGCAGGAGCUCGGCCUGGCCGCCUAUUUUGUCCACAGUGAGGUGGCCCCGGAGCAGGUGGCCCAGAGCGAGACCCCAGACAGCGAUGGCGAGAAGCCCAGCAUCUCCGAGGAUGAGGAGGCAGGGACAGAAGGUGAGGGGGCCGCCACCUGGGGCGUGGCCAGGCCGCCUGUGAGUUCAGUUGGGAUCUAAGUGUGGUGAACUCAGGAUUCCUGGGAAGUGGCAGAUGGAAGGGAGGAAGGAGGCAGGCCUGUGAUCCCAGCACUUGGGAGGC